GUGUCAGCCGCCGCGGUAAAACGUAGGUGGCGAGCGUUAUCCGGAUUUACUGGGUGUAAAGCGCGUGUAGGCGGCCUUACAAGUGGAGUGUGAAAGCGCCCGGCUCAACCGGGCGAGGACAUUGCAGACUGUAGGGCUGGAGGCAGGCAGAGGCGAGUGGAAUUCCGGGUGUAGUGGUGAAAUGCGUAGAGAUCCGGAGGAACACCAGAGGCGCAGGCGACUCGCUGGGCCUGACCUGACGCUCAGACGCGACAGCAUGGGGAGCGAACGGGAUUAGAAACCCCAGUAGUCC
rnacentral:rRNA from 1 species